AAGUAGUAGUACCUAACCGACGAAAGGGGGGCGUNUACCACGGUGAGAUUCAUGACUGGGGUG
rnacentral:rRNA from 1 species